rnacentral:ribozyme from 1 species
AUUGUACGUUCAAGGCCAUGGCAGAAGCACUCACAGUGUGGCCCUGUCAGACUCCAGUGGAUCUGCAAAUUCUGCU